GAAAUGCGAUAAGUAAUGUGAAUUGCAGAAUUCAGUGAAUCAUCGAAUCUUUGAACGCACCUUGCGCUCCUUGGUAUUCCUUGGAGCAUGCCUGUUUGAGUAUCAUGAAAUCUUCAAAGUAAAUCUUUUGUUAACUCAAUUGGUUUCUACUUUGGUAUUGGAGGUCUGUGCAGCUUCACACCUGCUCCUCUUUGUUCAUUAGCUGGAUCUCAGUGUUAUGCUUGGUUCCACUCGGCGUGAUAAGUUAUCUAUCGCUGAGGACACUGUAAAAGGUGGCCAAGGUAAAUGCAGAUGAACCGCUUCUAAUAGUCCAUUGACUUGGACAAUACUUUUAUGAUCUGAUCUCAAAUCAGGUAGGACUACCCGCUGAACUUAAGC
rnacentral:misc_RNA from 1 species